rnacentral:lncRNA from 1 species
UUGCCCUGGUGAGUAAGUGCAUCAGGACCACCCUAGUCUAGCUCCCCUCCCCCCAGCCUCUAAAUGACAGAUUUCCCUUCCAGCUUUUGCCAGCCUACUGAAGCAAAGGAUCCUGGCACUCAGCCUUGGGUAACUGUUCCUCGUAUAAACUUACCUCAUGUCUAGUUUAUAGGAAGUAGUAGUGGCUGCCUUGGUAUUGAUUGUAAGCGAUAUAAUUUGGACUCUGGAAAGAAGAGAGGGUACCAACACUGGUUGACUGGGCCUAGCAUGCUCAAUUUAGUACUUAGUAUCAUGACUUCAUUCAUGGACAGUUGCUCAAGUGAGGCACUGCCCAUUUCUUUGUAAAGAAAUCUUCACUUGCAUAUGGAAAUAUGCAUAUAUAUAUACAGAUGUAUACAUAUAUGAUUGAUCUCAUUAUAUGUGUGGUAGUUCUGUUCUAUAAAGUCAUUUCAAACACUGAAAUAUUGAAUAUUGAACCAGGCCCCUAAGGGGGAAUAUAGAGUAGGGUUGAUAUAAGCCUCUGGUCAUAUCUUCACCAACUUGUCAGUACACAACCUUGUUUUGUGUGUUUUAGUGUAAAGACACCUUAUUUAAUAUAUAUUGUUGCUGGGCGUGGUGACACACGCCUGUAAUCCCAGUGGCUUGGGUGGCUGAGGAAGAAGGAUUAAGAGUUCGAAGCCAGCCUCAGCAAAAACGAGGUGUUAAGCAACUCGGUGAGACUCUUUCUCUAAAUAAAAUCCAAAAUAAGGCUGGGGAUGUGGCUCAACAGUUGACUGCCCCUGAGUUCAAUCCCCGGUACCCCUCCAAAAAAAAAAAAAUAUAUUGUUGGCCAUGAAUUCAACAUUAAUGAAUCAACAGCACCACCACUCAUGCCUGAAUGAAGUCUAACACGCAGAUUAUCUCUGAGGUACAGCACAGUCUAUUUGUGAGCCAUCUUAAAUGGCAGCACUUGCUAGACCUUCACAAGGACACUUGCAUACAGUUUGAGCUGAAACAAGGUGGCAGAGUGUCACCUUGUUCAACCUCAGCUCAAAUCUUACACUGCUCUGUAUUUGUCCACUGACUAAGGAAGUGCCUCAAGUGCCUAUUGUUUUGGUCACAAAUAAAUUUUAGUCAGCAGGCAAAUUUUAUUUUUAGGAAUCUGCUCAUAAAAAUCAACUGUAUAAAACACAUAGGCCUUAUGUGUGUAAUUCUGGGAUGCUACCUGGUUUGUGAUGUGAAGAAAACCAAUUAAGAUUGGCAGAACAGGGGCUGGGGUUGUGGCUCAGCGAUAGAGUGCUUGCCUAGCACAUGCGAGGCCCUGGGUUCGAUCGUCAGCACCACAUAAAAAUAACUAAAUAAAAUAAAGGUAUUGUGUCCACCUACAACUAAAACAUAAGUUUAAAAAAAAAAAGAUUGGUAGAGUAAGGGGAGAUCUCAGAUGCUCGGAAGUGACUCAUUCCCAGUUAUUCUAAGUAUUAAGUCAUUCAUUCCCAUGAUAUACUACUAAAAGCACAACUUAUGAAUUCAUGGUGGUGACUUGUUCUCUUGGCUGAGCAACAGGCAGGAAGAGAACUAAUUGCUGCUGAGCAGGCAGUUUUGGAAAGAUGAGGGGAAAUAAGAUGUUGAACUUGAUCUUUCUCAUGCUGCUGACCCAGCUCUUCAUCUUAUUAUUCUUGAAACACAUCCAAGGCUUUUUAAUAAGCUUACUGAGGGUAGAGCCAAGGACUUAACAUUGUAUAUGUGUGAUGAGAAAAAGUUUGUGUGCUAGAUGUGGAAACCAUCUGUUGUGAUUGGAAGUGGGGCAAAAAGAAACGCCGUAGACUAUGAGAUGGCAUCCAUCCCUGCCCAAGCUUAGAAGUGUUGGGACAUUGGCCCUCACUGCCUGUAUCUUACUGUCCUGUUUUGUUCUCUUCCACCAGCUGAUCUACAUGAUGGCUACCACAUAUAACUAUGCGGUUUUGAAGUUUAAGAGUCGGGAAGAUUGCUGCACUAAGUUCUAAAUUGCAUAAGGCCAAUAAGGAGCUUUAGAGAGCUCUACUCUGUAGCGUGAAUAUCACUGACACUUCAGACUAAAGCAGAGUCUGUUUCUGCAGUUUUGUUACAGUAAUUUGUAAAUAGCUUCAGUUAACUCAUUCGCAUGUUAGAAUAAUAUGACUUACUAUACAUGAAUUACAAAAUAAUGAUGUGGCUAUUUCCACAUUUUGAAAAGCAUUCAGUUACUUACUGACAUUGGUGAGCAUCCUUUCAAAAACUUUCUUGAAAAACGUUGAGCAGUAUCUAAGUGAAGUAUUAAUGCUUUGACAUACCUGCAUUUUCCGUUACUUAUGCUUGCUUGAUAACCACUUUCAGUGAUGAAAAUGCGAACAAGUGCUGAAGAUGAAAAGAAAUGUUUUAAUCUGGAUUUUGUUUUGUUACUGUAGAAGAUAUUUUGCAAAUUUUAAAUUUGACUUAAAACAACUUUUUAUGAUCAUAUGGUUCACUACCAAAUAAAUGCCCCCACAAAUAAAGCAGAUGAAAAUUUGAAGGAAAAGGGUGUCACCCAUCUGAUUUCUCUGAAAAAGGAUCUAUGAAUUAUUUUUUUUUUGCAUAACACAAUCAUUCCUUUAGAGCCUACAAAAUUGGUAACCUUAAAUGGUUGUCUUUUGGUGAGUAGUAACUGUUUCUUCAUAGCUAGUUGUCAAAUGGCAUGUAAGAUUUUAAUGGGAAGAGAAAUUGGGCCUGAAUCUGAAGGUCUCAAAUAUGUUGUGAAGGAAGUAAGAAAUACAAGGAAAUUGAAAUAGAUUUAUUUUGCAGGAAAUAUGGGGAAAAUGGGAAAGAAGUAUGUGCCACAUCAAUUGUAAAGAAGGAUAAUGAGGAUUUUUACAUUUUGUGAAAUGAAAUAAUGGCAGUUAUAAAAUGAAAAAUAGUUUCACUACUAAAAAUUUGUUAAUUAAGAAACUGCAUGCUUUGCUUAUAUAGUUCUUAAUUUUGGUUUUGACAUUUAAUUUUUCCAUGUUAAAUAUGUAGUUUAAUUACUCAAAAUAAACAUUGUUCACACUUUUAGGUCUUUGGGGGAAUUGAUUUUUUUUAUCCACAGGUGGAAAAGAUCUUUGCAUUAUACUUAAUUAAAAUAAACACAACGGGUUUCUGAACUUCUGCAUUAGUCUUUACAGUUAUCCUCAAAAUGGUAAAAAGCACUCUUAUGUUUCAUUUUUGCUUUUUCUUAACAAUAACUUCGGCCAUUUUCCCCCCAAGUUCACUAUAUUUGUGUACUAACUUUUCUUCAGCCUUUUAAUAUGAAGCCAACUAGUAGAGCAUGCUCUGUGUCUGACAGCUCUGCUAGCAGAAUGAGUAUUAAUACCGAAUAACCCUUGCCCCUUUACAGUUGAGUCCAUCUAAUCUGACUAGCAGCUUGCUUUGCCUUCUCACGUGCUCACUAGCCAUCAUGCUCACCCUUCUUUUCCAGAUCCACUUCCUCAUGAUACUGUCUUCUAACUGGGCUUACUUAAAGGAUGCGAGCAAAAUGCAGGCUUACCAGGAUAUCAAAGCAAAGGAAGAACAGGAACUGCAAGAUAUCCAGUCUCGGUCAAAAGAACAACUCAAUUCUUACACAUAAAAUGUUUGCCAGAGUGUUUCUGCCGACGAUUUUACAGCUCUGACAAAUCAUCAGCUGCUCUGCAGUACAGAUGUGUAUCCCACCAAACUAAUGUAGAUGUACCAACAUUUCACUGUCUGUCUCAAGCUACUGGGAUGUAUCUCUAGGAAAACCUUCCAGUGGGUAAAUCUUUCUUUAGGACAAAUAUUGGAGGUUUCAUGUCAGCCAUUUUAAAAGGCAACACUUUUGACAAACUGUUCAUCCUUUGAAAAUUUGUGGCAUGUAUGUACUUAUUGCUAGAGCAGUUCUAUCAAGACAGGCAAUGGGAAUACAUCAUACUCCUUGAUAGGGACCUAUGACAUGCCAGCAUCAAGGGAUGUGACCAUAAAUUCACAUAUGCUAUCUGCCCUCAAAAAAUAAAAUCUACAUAGGAAAUAAAAUGGAAUUGGUGUAAAGUUCCAGUUCUGACAGCUGACAUUUAUUUAACUUGGGCUCAAAGAUAAUGUGAUUCCUAUGACUGACUUUAAAAAACAAAUUAGCACCCCUCAAUUCCAGGACCCAUUGAUUUCCUCAGCUAAUGAGAAACCUAUUUUUCAAAAAUACUACAAAACGAGAGCUUACAACAAUUGUGCUGAACCUAACACAGAAGAAGCUGAAUUCUGACUUGGUGACAAGCUUUCCAGAAUCAGUUUUAUAAUAGAUUUCAUUUACACAAUGAUAAUGACAGUUUUCAUUCUUCUUGGGAAAUAAGCAUCAGCUCUGCCUUAAUGAGUAUUUACCUGAAAUUUCUAAGAAUUUAUAUAACCAGAGGCCCCAAACUCCUUCACAGAAUUUUGUUCCAUAAAUAUUUUUAAGAAGUGUUACCUUAUUAAAAUGACCACCAUUCUAAACCAUUUGUAAGUGGUCUGAAUGGUGAGUUUACAGUUUCAUAGCAACUAUCUAAAACCUAACUGCAAAUUGACCACAGACCUCUAACCUCCUACUUUUAUAGACUUGAAUACAUAAUUUAAGUUAGGGUUGGUAUUUAUUUCAUUUCAAUUCUUAUCUUGGUUUCCUGGAAUAAUGUUUAAUGUUCGGCAAGAAAACUGCUUGAGUUUAAGCCAUUUCAAAAGAAAUUUGCCUUCUAAGUCAUUGUGUUCCAGAACAUUAAGUGACUAUAGGUACUGGGUUUUAGUGAUGGUAAACUUUGUGUUGUUCUUUUUGAAAUGAUCCAUAUAGCUAUUGGGUGCAUCAGUGCUUUUCAAAGGGGCUGCAUACUAUAGGGUUAACUAUGUAUAUUCAUGUUAAGAGUUAACUUGUGAUUUGGCUGUUUCCUGGAUUUAAAAACAUACAUGUGCAGAAAUGUAUUCAAAUGAAAGGAAGCAUACCUUUAUCAAGAUGCUAUUAAAAUUGAACAUCAAGUAUAAUAUUUCAUUUGGAUUUUUUUUUUUUUGGUUCAUGCCUAAAAAUGCCUAUUUGGAUUUUUGUUUUUUAAAUUGGAAGAAGCUCUCUUCUGUGUAGAACAGUUCCAAAGUAGCUUAGUGUUUUGUUUUCCUGUUGCAUGACAGACUUAAAUAUUUUUUUUCCAGCAGUGAGGGUGCUGUUAGAGUCCAGUGUUUUAGAAGAGGCAGUGUCUAAAGCCUAAUUUUACUUUUCUAAUUCUGGUAGCUAUUACCAGGAAUUUUUGAAAGUUUUGUUGAAGUAGUCUAAUAUUUUUUAUGUAAAGAGCAUUAAAUUUUGCUAUGUAUAAAUUUUUGUAACCUAACAGUGAAUCAAUAUUUUCUAUCAGUGCCAAGGGCUUCCUGUAGUUCUAUUCAAGUGUUACAAUAAAUAUUUGUAGAUAAUAGUCAAUACUUGUGUAUGCUUAUUUUAAAGAUCUAUUUAGGUGGAAAUAGUUGUGGAUGUACUAAGAGUAAUGAAAUAAAAUUAUGGCUUCAUUUGCUUGCCUUUUUACCAUACAUAAAUCCUAUCUUUCUCUGUCCUCAG